rnacentral:rRNA from 1 species
GACGAACCGAGCGAACGUUAUUCGGAAUCACUGGGCUUAAAGGGCGCGUAGGCGGGCCGUCAAGUCAGGGGUGAAAGCCCCCAGCUCAACUGGGGAAGUGCCUCUGAUACUGGCGGUCUCGAGGGAGGUAGGGGCGUGCGGAACUUCCGGUGGAGCGGUGAAAUGCGUAGAUAUCGGAAGGAACACCGGUGGCGAAAGCGGCGCGCUGGACCUCUUCUGACGCUGAGGCGCGAAAGCCAGGGGAGCGAACGGG